GGGGAUAUAAAACCAGACAUUCGAGCCAGCAACAGCUACCCUCUUUGGGUCCCCUCCCUUUGUAUGGGAGCUCUGUUUUCACUCUAUUAAAUCUUGCAACUGCACUCUCUUCUGGUCUGUGCUUGUUAUGGUUUGAGCUGAGCUUUCGAUUGCUGUCUACCACUGCUGUUUGCCACCAUUGCAGACCCGCUGCUGACUUACAUCCCUCCGGAUCUGGCAGGGUGUCCGCUGUGCUCCUGAUCCAGUGAGGUGCCCAUUGCCACUCCCUGUCGGGCUAAAGGCUUGCCAUUGUUCCUGCAUGGCUAAGUGCCCGGGUUUGUCCUAAUCGAGCUGAACACUAGUCACUGGGUUCCUCGGUUCUCUUCUGUGACCCACAGCUUCUAAUAGAGGUAUAACACUCACUGCAUGGCCAAGAUUCCAUUCCUUGGAAUCCAUGAGGCCAAGAACCCCAGGUCAGAGAACACUAGGCUUGCCGCCAUCUUGGAAGCAGCCCGCCACCAUCUUGGGACCUCUGGGAGCAAGGACGCCCCCCCUCCCCCGCUGCUGGUAACAUUUUGGCAACCACGAAGCAACCUCCAAAGCAGCACUCAUUUGCUGCUCUUGCAAGUGCUGCCACCCAUGUGAUGCCAUCUGCCAUAUGACACAGCAUGUCAUGGUCCUUUCCAGAGAAGCCCUGUUUACUUCUGGCCACUGUUUACUGCUGCCUCUGAAUGUCUUCAUUAGUCACGAUGGUAGGAUCUGAAGUCUACUUGCAACCACUGAAUGAACACUUUGGAAAUGAAGACAGAGAAAAAUCUGGACUCCUGUUGAUAUUUUUAAUAGCUGAAUGAAUGCUCAGUAAAGCCUACCUCUGACUUGCUUUUCAAGUGAGAAAAAAUACAUCUCCUCCCACCUUGUUUAAACCUCUGUUACUUUU
rnacentral:lncRNA from 10 species